AACGCGAAGAACCUUACCUGGGCUCGAAAUGUAGUGGAAUCCGGCAGAAACGUCGGCGUCUAGCAAUAGACCGCUAUAUAGGUGCUGCAUGGCUGUCGUCAGCUCGUGUCGUGAGAUGUUGGGUUAAGUCCCGCAACGAGCGCAACCCUUAUCUUCAGUUGCCAGCGGGUAAUGCCGGGGACUCGUAGGAGACUGCCGGGGUCAACUCGGAGGAAGGUGGGGACGACGUCAAGUCAUCAUGCCCCUUACGUCCAGGGCUGCACACAUGCUACAAUGGCUGGUACAACGGGCUGCUAUCCCGCGAGGGGGAGCCAAUCCCAAAAGCCAGUCUCAGUUCGGAUUGGAGUCUGCAACUCGACUCCAUGAAGUCGGAGUCGCUAGUAAUCCCGGAUCAGCAACGCCGGGGUGAAUACGUUCCCGGGCCUUGUACACACCGAGACGUA
rnacentral:rRNA from 1 species